rnacentral:lncRNA from 1 species
AUGUCUGGCGCCCUGUCGCGACAGUACAACUGCGGCGCUCCUUCCUCGCCGGGGGCCCUUCCUCGCCCAGCACCGGGAGCUGCCGCCCGCCGGUUCCCAGCCCCGGCCGCUCCGUGCCGACGGGGGGGGUCUUGGCAGCGACCCCUGGCCGCCUGCUGGGCUGGGCCGGGCCGGGCGGGCCCGCCCCCGGGCUAUUUAGUGCUCGGCACGGCCAGCCGCGCUCCGCCACCGGCGGGGCUGCACGGCUCGGCACGGCUCGGCUCGGGACGGGACAGCUCAGCUCGGGACGGGACGGGAGCGGGCUGCCAGCGCCCUCGAGCGGCACUGGGGUCGAGGAGGGGCAGCCAAGCCCUUGGGCACGAGCCGAGCUCUUCCUCCGGGCGCCGGGCAGGGCUGCUGCCAGCUCCGUGCCGGUGGGGCGGGACGGGGCGCGCAGCCCUCGCCCUGCCCAGCCGAGGAACGCGGACACCGGCUCCGAGAGCUGGGAGAAGAGAGGCAGCAGCGGGAGCGGCCGGGACCGGGUCUGCUUGCUAUCCUCAGAAUAUCUCUAUCCAAGUUAGAGGAAAAAGGAUAAAUCUGACGUCACAGACCAGACCACAGGAGAUGCUUGAGGCCUCUCUGAUCUUCUGACACUAGCCCUCACUGAAGAACGGUACACAACAGAACACAAAGGUUGUGCAGAACACAGAAUUACAGAACAGAGGUCUUGAGCUCAUACUCCUCAGUGUACGUAUUUCCCCUGCCUAUACAUGCUACUGCAACCAAGCACACCUCCUUUUUCAUAAUGCCAGGCCUUUAUGGGUAAAACUUAAGGAACAAGGAAUUUGAUCUCUCAGAAGAAAGCAUGCAAACAUUGCAGCUCCAUCUUUGAUUGUUAGAAUAAGAACAAGAUAAAGCUAGCAUUAAAUUAACAUUGAAUAAUGCAUGACACUGCAUUGUUUUGACUAAUAAUAUUAAUAUUUUAGUAAUUAUUAAUAAUAUUAA